UUCAUCUGCCUCUCUUCUUACCCUGAUUGCCCAUCACUCUGAAACAGGAUAAAUCUGGACUCAUCAGACCACAUGACUUUCUUCCAUUGCUCCAGAGUCCAAUCUUUUCGCUCCCUAGCAAAUUGAAGCCCUUUUUACAGGUUAGCCUCUCUGAUUAGCGGUUUUCUUACGGCUACACAGCUGUUCAGUCCCAAUCCCUUGAGUUCCCUUCGCAUUGUGCAUGUGGAAAUGCUCUUACUUUCACUAUUAAACAUAGCCUACUGUUGUUUUUCUUCAAUUUGAUUUCACUAAAUUUUAAGUGAUCA